rnacentral:rRNA from 2 species
UUAGUCUUGCCGGUGGAUCACUCGGCUCGUAGGUCGAUGAAGAUCGCAUCCAAAUGCGAUAGUUAGUGUGAACUGCAGAUAUUCUGAGCACUAAAACGUCGAAUGCACAUUGCGCCUUGGGACCUCCAUCCCUCGGCACGCCUGGUUCAGGGUCGUU